rnacentral:lncRNA from 1 species
CCUUUUUUUACAACCUUUUAUCAUGUAUAGUUUUCAGCACCUGUUUAAAAUACUACAUAAUCUGAAGGCAGCUUCUUUGCAGGGGUGUAAAUGGCAGUUCCUUGGUCACAACCGUGCACAUUUAAAGCAAGGUUGUAGCAAGCACCCUAGUAGUCACCAUGACUUCCUAAAGCCUGAUCUGAGCUGGUUGGCAGCAGUGCUUUCCCAAUUUAGUAACUGGGGACUUUUUGGAGACCUGAUGGGCACCCAAUCCUUUUUGAUGUUGUGCUAGACAUACACCAAACUGAGUCUGGGCAAGGCUGGUACUUCAUCACUGAGAAGAGGAAAGACCUGUAUGCAAUUACCGCAUCCGUUCUCAUGUUGAAACUGUUUUCCCUAGAAAGAGUCCUUAAUAUCAGUAAGUGACUCUAGUACGUCCGUGUUAUUGCAAGGGUC